rnacentral:lncRNA from 1 species
AAAAAAUUCAUAAUUUAACUUAGAGAAUGUGACUAAUUUCAACAUUUCCGAAAGUAAAUGAUUUUUAAUUGUAGUUUUAAUUUAUGUACUGCUCGAUUUUCAUUUACUGAAAAGGUAACAACUUGGCAUAUUUUGUUUAGGCAACAAUGAAGUAUCAUGUUCUUCUUCAUUCUUGGUUUGGCUGAAGUUCGCAAAUCAGUUUAUCACAGGCCACCUUUAAAAACGUUGUAUCUAAAAAUAUCUCAGUUUAGCACAAAUCUAUGGAAACAACACAAAUGGCCUAAAAUUGAUCUAAACACAAAUCCGUUGCUAAGACUUUCUAAAUAAUUAUGCAAAAAAUAGUGAAUAAACCUUCUUGAUGUACCUUUUUUUUUCUUUUGUUGAAAAACAUUCUUGAUCUAACUGCAGAGUGCAUCCCUGACAAAUAAAAAGGAAAAGGAAUCAAUCUUAUAAUUAAGCAUGAAAAAAUAGGA